UACGUAGGGGGCAAGCGUUGUCCGGAUUUAUUGGGCGUAAAGAGCGUGUAGGCGGCCCGAUAAGUCCGCUGUGAAAGUCCAGGGCUCAACCCUGGAAUGCCGGUGGAUACUGUCGGGCUCGAAUCCGGAAGAGGUGAGUGGAAUUCCUGGUGUAGCGGUGAAAUGCGCAGAUAUCAGGAGGAACACCGGUGGCGAAGGCGGGUCUCUGGCCGAAACUGACGCUGAGGAGCGAAAGCGUGGGGAGCGAACAGG
rnacentral:rRNA from 1 species